rnacentral:lncRNA from 1 species
UGGAGACAUGAACUGAAUCUAGAAUGUUAACACUUUACCUGUUUAAUAACAUGAUGGAAGACACACUGAGUCAGACAGUAUACAGAGAAGUACCACAUGGAGAAUGAUAGUUUCAUAUAGUUCAUGAAAAACCCUGUAGAAGCCUUGUCAGUCUGUGGGACAAACGUUGCAUUGUGUUGCUAAUCUGUUCGCAUGUGUGUGUGUGGCCCUUAUGUGAGUGCAUGUAGUGUUUGUGUAGUGUGUGGGGUGUAUGGAUGUGUGUCUGUGCCUGGGUGUGACAUUGUGGCCAGCCGGGUGCUGCUCCCCUCCUACACUGGUGGUUGUGUGUGUGCGCGUGUCUGACAGGUGUUUUGUGUGUAUGCCAGACUCCUUUGUGAGCGGUGUGUGUGUGGUGUGUGGUGUGUGUGUGUGUGUGUGUGUGUGUGGUGAGAGUCAUAGUGCCCAGCUGAGUGCUGCUCUCCUCCCACUCUCUGUGUUAAGCUGGGCUCCAGUGAGACAGUCUGGUCAGUCUGGUGUUUGAAAGAGGAAUGAACUCACCAUCACAGAAAUCUCCUACUCCCACCGUGUUACACUACCCAGGACAGGACUCUCCUACUCCACAGUGUUACACUACCCAGGACAGAUCUCCUACUCCACAGUGUUACUUUCCCAGGACAGACCUCUCCUACUCACAGUGUUACUCUACCCAGGACGACCGACCUCUACUACUCCACCGUGUUACUCUACCCAGGACAGACCUCUCCUACUCCACAGUGUUACACUACCCAGGACAGACCUCUCCUACUCCACAGUGUUACUCUACCCAGGACAGACCUCUCCUACUCCACAGUUGUUACACUUCCCAGGACAGGACUCUUCAUUCUGUCCACUGGUGCAGAGCCGCAGAGUACUCUGGGGUUUGAAUAGAAUAUUGUUGUUGCUGUUGACACGUCUGAGGAUGUGGAAGAGGAGACCAUCACUGUUUCUACCAUAAGACACAGAACUACAGGUUAUUCAACCAAGAGGAAAGAGACAGAUCCAUUCCUGCAACAAUCCCGGGACGUACAAGAACACGUUAUCAAGGGGAACUUCUGUCACCUGUAAUCAUUGUUUUGGAGAAGAGAGGAGAUUUGACGCCAUCUUGACAACACUCAUCAUCUAGUGAAAACCAGGGAAAACACACCGGGCCCAGUUGAACAGAACUGUU